UACGGAGGGGGCUAGCCUUGUUCGGAAUUACUGGGCGUAAAGCGCACGUAGGCGGAUUGUUAAGUCGGGGGUGAAAUCCCGGGGCUCAACCCCGGAACGGCCCUCGAUACUGGCAGUCUUGAGGACGGUAGAGGCUAGUGGAAUGGCGAGUGUAGAGGUGAAAUUCGUAGAUAUUCGCCGGAACACCAGUGGCGAAGGCGACUGGCGGGACCGUUAGUGACGCUGAGGUGCGAAAGCGUGGGGAGCAAACAGG
rnacentral:rRNA from 1 species